rnacentral:rRNA from 1 species
CGCAUGGGCGGCGUGCUAUACAUGCAGUCGAGCGGAUCGAUGGGAGCUUGCUCCCUGAGAUCAGCGGCGGACGGGUGAGUAACACGUGGGUAACCUGCCUGUAAGACUGGGAUAACUCCGGGAAACCGGGGCUAAUACCGGAUAACACCUACCCCCGCAUGGGGGAAGGUUGAAAGGUGGCUUCGGCUAUCACUUACAGAUGGACCCGCGGCGCAUUAGCUAGUUGGUGAGGUAACGGCUCACCAAGGCGACGAUGCGUAGCCGACCUGAGAGGGUGAUCGGCCACACUGGGACUGAAACACGGCCCAGACUCCUACGGGAGGCAGCAGUAGGGAAUCUUCCGCAAUGGACGAAAGUCUGACGGAGCAACGCCGCGUGAGUGAAGAAGGUUUUCGGAUCGUAAAACUCUGUUGUUAGGGAAAAACAAGUGCCGUUCGAAUAGGGCGGCACCUUGACGGUACCUAACCAGAAAGCCACGGCUAACUACGUGCCAGCAGCCGCGGUAAUACGUAGGUGGCAAGCGUUGUCCGGAAUUAUUGGGCGUAAAGCGCGCGCAGGUGGUUUCUUAAGUCUGAUGUGAAAGCCCACGGCUCAACCGUGGAGGGUCAUUGGAAACUGGGGAACUUGAGUGCAGAAGAGGAAAGUGGAAUUCCAAGUGUAGCGGUGAAAUGCGUAGAUAUUUGGAGGAACACCAGUGGCGAAGGCGACUUUCUGGUCUGUAACUGACACUGAGGCGCGAAAGCGUGGGGAGCAAACAGGAUUAGAUACCCUGGUAGUCCACGCCGUAAACGAUGAGUGCUAAGUGUUAGAGGGUUUCCGCCCUUUAGUGCUGCAGCUAACGCAUUAAGCACUCCGCCUGGGGAGUACGGUCGCAAGACUGAAAUCAGAAAA